rnacentral:ncRNA from 1 species
AGCUUUUUGCCACCGGGUAAAAAGAUUAAGCGUCAGACUUUCUAUCAUUAGGUCUUUGAAGAUAGAGAGUUUGAUGUUUUUUUGUA